rnacentral:rRNA from 1 species
GACGAACGCUGGCGGCGUGCUUAACACAUGCAAGUCGAACGGCAAGGCCCUGCUUUUGUGGGGUGCUCGAGUGGCGAACGGGUGAGUAACACGUGAGUAACCUGCCCUUGACUUUGGGAUAACUUCCGGAAACUGGGGCUAAUACCCGAUCGGAGCUCCUGCUGCAUGGUGGGGGUUGGAAAGUUGCGGCGGUUGGGGAUGGUUGGGCGGGUUAUCAGCUUGUUGGUGGGGUAGUGGCAUACCAAGGCCUUGACGGGUCGCCGGCAUGAGAGCGGGACCGGCGACAUGGGGCCUGCGAGAGGCAGCAGAGGGGAAUGUUGGGCAGCGGGGGAGAGUAUGAUACAGUGGUGGGGAGUGUGAUGCAGCGACCUCGGGGGUGGAAUGCCGGCUUGCGGGGAGAGAACCGCUUGCGCCUGAUACGAACGGUGGGUGACGGUAACGGGUAAAGAAGCACCGGCUAACUACGUG